rnacentral:lncRNA from 1 species
UUUACUUGAUUUCUUCUCUUUGGUGUAUAUAAUAAUUCAAAUAAUUAAACCAUCUCCCUUUCUUAAACACACUCUAACUCCAUUUUUUUACAUAACACCUUAAAUAUUUUGUGAUAUCCUUCCCUUUAAAUUAAUCAAUCUUGUCUACAACUGCUUGUAAUGCUUUGUUUGUCAUACCAUCUUGGUGAUCUUUAAACUAUUGUUAUUGCAUGAAUAAGACAAAAGCUUCAAACAUGCUUACGAAAUUGGGAUCAAAAUACAUACUUUAUUCUCCAUUAGUAUUGUCACUUAUAACUCCAAUUGAAGCACCACCCAUAGCUCCCCCUUUAACUUUCUUUCCUUCCUUCUCUAUAAUUGAAAUAAUCCAAGAAUACCUCAUACCUUCCAACUCAAGUCUUUUACAUCAAAUUCAUGAAAUAUGUCAUUUUAUAUGAAGUCUUACUCGAAAAUGCAUUGACCACUUAAUUGUGGGAGAUAGAAUGGAAAUUACAACAGAAAAAUUCUAACUUUAAUAUAAUACCAAAUAAACAAUAAUUAAAUCCUAACAAUGUUAACCAAGCUUUAAUCAAAUUCAAAAGAAACUUUUAAAAAAAUACAAAAAUAACAAUAAAAAAUCUUAAAGGAGUUCAAAAGAAAUCCACAAUAAUUUUUAAAAUAAUACCUAAGAAAUCCUAAAGAAAUAUUAAAAUAUUCACAAAUAUAUCUUAAAUAAAUCUCAAAUAAGUCCUAAUUUAAUCCUAGUUGAAAUCCUAAUAGACUUCAAUCAAAUCUUAGGCCAAACCCUAAAUUCUAAAUAAUCUUUAAUCCUAAAUUCUAAAAAAAUCUUAAAUCUUAAAUCCUAAUUAAAUUCUAAAUCCUAACCAAACCUUAAUUAAAUUUUAAAUCAUCGGUCAAUCCUAAUCCUAAACCAAAUCCUAAUCAAAACCUAACGAAUUCAACCCAAUUGUAAUAUAAUUUAAAACCUCAAUAUCUAUCAAUUAAAUCAUUGAUCUUGCUUAAAUUUUAUAUACU